UACGGGAGGCAGCAGUGGGGAAUAUUGCACAAUGGGCGAAAGCCUGAUGCAGCUAUGCCGCGUGUAUGAAGAAGGCCUUAGGGUUGUAAAGUACUUUCAUCGGGGAGGAAAAAACAAAACUAAUAAUUUUAUUUCUUGACGUUACCCGAAAAAGAAGCACCGGCUAACUCCGUGCCAGCAGCCGCGGUAAUACGGAGGGUGCUAGCGUUAAUCAGAAUUACUGGGCGUAAAGAGCACGUAGGUGGUUUUUUUAAAGUCAGAUGUGAAAUCCCUGGGCUUAACCUAGGAACUGCAUUUUGAAACUGAAAUACUAGAGUAUCGUAGAGGGAGGUAGAAUUCUAGGUGUAGCGGUGAAAUGCGUAGAUAUCUGGAGGAAUACCUGUGGCGAAAGCGGCCUCCUAAACGAAUACUGACACUGAGGGUGCGAAAGCGUGGGGAGCAAACAGGGAUUAGAUA
rnacentral:rRNA from 1 species